rnacentral:rRNA from 1 species
AGAGUUUGAUUCUGGCUCAGGACGAACGCUGGCGGCGUGCCUAAUACAUGCAAGUCGAACGCUUCUUUCCUCCCGAGUGCUUGCACUCAAUUGGAAAGAGGAGUGGCGGACGGGUGAGUAACACGUGGGUAACCUACCCAUCAGAGGGGGAUAACACUUGGAAACAGGUGCUAAUACCGCAUAACAGUUUAUGCCGCAUGGCAUAAGAGUGAAAGGCGCUUUCGGGUGUCGCUGAUGGAUGGACCCGCGGUGCAUUAGCUAGUUGGUGAGGUAACGGCUCACCAAGGCCACGAUGCAUAGCCGACCUGAGAGGGUGAUCGGCCACACUGGGACUGAGACACGGCCCAGACUCCUACGGGAGGCAGCAGUAGGGAAUCUUCGGCAAUGGACGAAAGUCUGACCGAGCAACGCCGCGUGAGUGAAGAAGGUUUUCGGAUCGUAAAACUCUGUUGUUAGAGAAGAACAAGGACGUUAGUAACUGAACGUCCCCUGACGGUAUCUAACCAGAAAGCCACGGCUAACUACGUGCCAGCAGCCGCGGUAAUACGUAGGUGGCAAGCGUUGUCCGGAUUUAUUGGGCGUAAAGCGAGCGCAGGCGGUUUCUUAAGUCUGAUGUGAAAGCCCCCGGCUCAACCGGGGAGGGUCAUUGGAAACUGGGAGACUUGAGUGCAGAAGAGGAGAGUGGAAUUCCAUGUGUAGCGGUGAAAUGCGUAGAUAUAUGGAGGAACACCAGUGGCGAAAGCGGCUCUCUGGUCUGUAACUGACGCUGAGCUCGAAAGCGUGGGGAGCAAACAGAUUAGAUACCCUGGUAGUCCACGCCGUAAACGAUGAGUGCUAAGUGUUGGAGGGUUUCC